rnacentral:rRNA from 1 species
AUGAUGCAUAGCCGAGUUGAGGACUGAUCGGCCACAUUGGGACUGAGACACGGCCCAAAACUCCUACGGGAGGCAGCAGUAGGGAAAUCUUCCACAAUGGACGCAAGUCUGAUGGAGCAACGCCGCGUGAGUGAAGAAGGGUUUCGGCUCGUAAAGCUCUGUUGUUGGUGAAGAGGGACAGGGGUAGUAACUGACCUUUGUUUGACGGUAAUCAAUUAGAAAGUCACGGCUAACUACGUGCCAGCAGCCGCGGGUAAU